CCUUAAAUAACAUCCAUAGCAGCAUCAAUAUUAAGCUUAAACCACCCCUCACGAGGCACCAUCAAAUGGACAUCUUCCUAGUGAUCAUUAACCCUCAGCAUAUUUAGGUUAAGGAUCGAAUGCUACAUCCUUCGGGAUUUCAACACCACCAUUAGUACACAAGCCAUUCCCAUUUUUAACCAAGUCUCUGGAAUUAAAAGCAUCACACAAUUCC
rnacentral:lncRNA from 1 species